CGAAGCGAAGCAGUGAUGUGAAGCAAAUCGCACCAAAGCCGGUCCCAGUUCGGAUAAGAGGCUGAAACUCGCCUCUUUGAAGUCGGAAUCGCUAGUAAUCGCGCAUCAGCCAUGGCGCGGUGAAUACGUUCCCGGGCCUUGUACACACCGCCCGUCAAGCCAUGGGAGCCGGGAGCGCUUGAAGUGCGUCGCCGCGAGGCGCGCCCUAGAGCGAGACCGGUGACUGGGGCUAAGUCGUAACAAGGUAUC
rnacentral:rRNA from 1 species